CGUAGAAAUCCUAACGAAGGCGUCGGAAUCGGCGCUUCGGACCCUGGCAGGCGGGCAGUUUGACUGGGGCGGUCGCCUCCCAAAGAGUAACGGAGGCGCGCGAAGGUUCCCUCAGGCUGAUUGGAAACCAGCCGUAGAGUGCAAAGGCAUAAGGGAGCUUGACUGCAAGACAUACACGUCGAGCAGGUGCGAAAGCAGGUCUUAGUGAUCCGGCGGUUCUGUAUGGAAGGGCCGUCGCUCAACGGAUAAAAGGUACUCCGGGGAUAACAGGCUUAUCUCCCCCAAGAGUUCACAUCGACGGGGAGGUUUGGCACCUCGAUGUCGGCUCAUCGCAUCCUGGGGCUGAAGUAGGUCCCAAGGGUUUGGCUGUUCGCCAAUUAAAGCGGUACGCGAGCUGGGUUUAAAACGUCGUGAGACAGUUUGGUCCCUAUCUGCCGUGGGCGUAGGAGAUUUGAGAGGAUCUGUCCUUAGUACGAGAGGACCGGGAUGGACGAACCACUAGUGUUCCUGUUGUCACGCCAGUGGCAAUGGCAGGGUAGCUAUGUUCGGAAAGGAUAACCGCUGAAAGCAUCUAAGCGGGAAGCCCCCCUCAAGACGAGAUCUCCCUGGGAGCAAUCCCCUAAAGGUCCGUCGGAGACGACGACGUUGAUAGGCCGGGUGUGUAAGCACGGCAACGUGUUCAGCUAACCGGUACUAAUUGACCGUGAGGCUUGACCAU
rnacentral:rRNA from 1 species